ACUUAGUGUCCACCUGCCGGGGCGUGACGGUCGGCGCCUGUGGCCCGUGGAAGUGUUCCACUCGAGUGGAUUCCUGUGAAACGUUAACUGCGUGAACAUCGCCGAUUCGAAGAAAAGAAAAGUGGAAUCAGAAAACCCUGGGUAAGAGGAGUUUCGGAGUCUCUCUCGUGAAACGAAGAACAACGCUCGCUAGCUGGUUAGGACAAAUAUUAGAGGUAAAAAAAAAAAAAAAAGUGGCCUUAUCUGUGCUUUCCACUGCUAUAUCCUCAACGUCUUGCAGGUGGCACUUUGCUGAAAAUUCGAGGAUUCAGUGGGAGACGAGGCAGCUGUUUAGUGUACCCCGAAGUCGUGGCCAGUUCCCAAGCGCUUCCUGACCAGCUGCGUGACCUUGUGAAUAAUAUAUAACCUCUCUGAGCCUGUUUCCUCAUUCAUAAACUGAGGAUUCUAAAGUAACCACCUCAUUAGAUUUUGAUAGGGAUUAAGUCAUCAUAUAAAGCAAAGACAAUUGCUGUGGCAUACAGGAAGUGUUCGAAGUGGCAUUAUGACAAGUUGCUCAACCUCCCAGGCAAUUCACGCACUGGAGCGAAAAGAAACUCAAACAGCACCGAAGCAUGUACAGUGAAAGGUCGACACAGCCCUUGGCUCAGAAGGAAUUGCUAUAAACGACUCUCCGUCCCCCCUCCCGGCAAAGCCUCCUGUGUGUGGCAGUGUAUGUGUGCACGCACAUCCUCAGAAACGAGCAGCCAGCGGGGCCAGAUGCUCCUGAUGGCUCAUCCCUAACAUUGGCACUUGCUGGUAUAUUCUGGAUCGAGAGCAGCAUAUACUGUUCCUAUUCAGAAUGAGUAUUUCUUAACAUUCUCAGCACGAUUUUCUUUUUAAAGCUCCCUUAAGCUUUUUGAGAAAGUCCGUGGGCUACACCCUCCUCCCCUCCACCCCCGCAACUCCCCAGUCGCGGCCCCCACAGCUCUGAGCAGAGACUCCCCAGUUGCGGCCCACUCAGGUUUUCUGGGCCUGUGGCCUGUGGUCAAACCAGCAGCAGAGGGUGAGAGUGUGGGUGGGGGAAGCAAAAGAGGAAGAGAAAACAAAUUUUCCAUGAGUAGCUGAGAAAGAGCAGAAGGAGCAAAAUCAAACGGACACGGGGCGCUAGCUCCCCAAAGUGUUUUACUGCGUGUAUUUAAGUGAGAGGCGUCAGGAAGAGGGCUCUACAGGGUGUAAAGGGCAGUGGGCACGGGGACACCCGGCUCUUACAGUGGUAGCGGCAGCUGCGCAUGA